GUUUGAAGAAAACCCUGGAGUUGGCGUACGCAGCGCAUCUUCGUGUUCUUCACUCUCUUGAGAUCGGAGGACUAGACUAUUCCGAUUCUGUAACGGUAUGAGGUGUGAUUUAUUUGUCUUAAAUCCUCUUAAAUCGUAAGCGCACUAUGAAACCUUCGAUUGCCAUGCCCGUCGGGGAAUAAAUAUGAUACAGUCCCUCCGUGAAAUGAUCAGUUCUCAUCGUUCUCAUAUGUGUGACGAUGUUGUUGUUAUUGUGAUUAGGGAUGUUCAUUGUUGAUCGAAGCUUAAAGAGACUUUCUCAGGUCACUAAUAGAACGUGGUGGAGUCUCCACCGGGGAGAGUUUAUGUGGGUUGAUAUACUCAUGGUUGAUGUUAAUGCGACCAUGAUGCAAGACAUGAUCCUUCAGAGCAAUGAAGACAGACAGAGAAGAGCAGAACUAUUACUGGGUGAAUGAAGUGGUCAGAUGUGAAGGCCGAGUAACAGCAGUGAGCGGGUGUCAUAGUCCUAGCUACAUGAUUAUCAGACCGAGAAAUACAAGAAAAGAUCUGGCUCUAUUGUCUAAAGAAGAGACUGAGAUGCCCAAAGUUUGGGCACAGAUAUCUCUCCAGAGGAUGUUUGAUAUGGCUAAAGAAAGCACAACUCUGCGGCAGAGCUUGGAUCCUAUGCUUUGUUAUUUUACCUCUAAACGCCAGUGGACUCCUCCAAACGGUCUUGCUAUGAUAGUUCUGUCUGAUGCUACAUACUUGACGGAAACCUUUGGGAGUCAGCAGUUGAUGUUAUCCUCUGUUGUACGUCAUCUUGACAACAAGCAUGUUGCCAAUGAUUCUGAACUCAAAGCUUAAAUCAUACAAGUUGCUGGCUGUCUAGCAAAGCUGAUUAAGACUGUCUCCGGGAGAUAGCCAAAGGAAUUGGAAAUACACAGCCGAGAAGGAUGGCGUCAAGGUGGAUAUGAAUCUAGCUGAAAUGUUACCAUCAAUGAUGAAGUUUACUGAACGAACACGACCAUGAGCCACGAUCUAACAUUAAUGCAAGUCUGCAACACCUAUAAAAAGGCUUGGUUAUAUAUGUCCCUAUCAAGACUCGACAAAGGUGUGGGGGUGUUCAGAAAUUGAAAAUGUGACGGACUCUGAGCUAAACUUUACGUUCUGUAUAUUCUCCACCAUAAGGCAAUCCGUUCAUGUUCCAUUCUGCUAAAUUAUCUCAAGUGUUGCAUUAUUAGCAUUUGUAGACUUAAUACACUAGAUUGCUGAGUUUCUCUCCACAAGAAAAGUAGAGGCCACUGAAACAAUCAAUGGGUGGUGCUACAUUUUCGGCUCCAAAUGUUCCAGGAAACUUCAGCGUCCUUUUUAUGGUUCACCUGCAACUCAUGUAAUGACUACAGCUAUUUCUGCUUUCAUUUUGGCUCAUCUCGCCUAUUCUUGGAAAGGUUUUAUACUUUUA